rnacentral:rRNA from 1 species
UGCAAGUCGAACGCACCAGCAAUGGUGAGUGGCGAAAGGGUCAGUAAUACSAUCGAACGUACCCUGAGGUGGGGAAUAGGCAUGGGAAACUGUGCGUAAUACCCCAUGAUGUCUACGGACCAAAGGUUUACCGCCUUGGGAGCGGCGAUCGUCCUAUCAGGUAGUUGGCGGGGUAACGGCCCACCAAGCCGAAGACGGGUAGCAGGUGUGAGAGCACGACCUGCGACAUCGGGACUGAGACACUGCCCGGACUUCUACGGAAGGCUGCAGUAACGAAUCUUCCGCAAUGGGCGAAAGCCUGACGGAGCAAUGCCGCGUGUGGGAUGAAGCGGCUUCGCCGUGUAAACCACUGUCAGGAUCUAGAAACAAUGAUCAGAUCCAGAGGAAGAGCCGGCUAACCCUGUGCCAGCAGCCGCGGUAAUACAGGGGGCUCGAGCGUUAAUCGGAAUCACUGGGCUUAAAGGGUGCGCAGGCGGACCUUCAAGCGUUCUGUGAAAUCCCCCGGCUCAACCGGGGAACAGCAGAGCGAACUGAAGGUCUUGAGGCAAGUAGGGGUGGACAGAACUGUAGGUGGAGCGGUGAAAUGCGUAGAUAUCUACAGGAAUGCCGAUGGUGAAGACGGUCCACUGGGCUUGUCCUGACGCUCAGGCACGAAAGCGUGGGGAUCAAACAGGAUUAGAUACCCUGGUAGUCCACGCCGUAAACGAUGUACACUAGACCGGUGCGGUUUUGACGCCGUAUCGGUCGUAGUAAAAACGAUAAGUGUACCGCCUGGGGAGUACGGUCGCAAGGCUAAAACUCAAAUGAAUUGACGGGGGCUCACACAAGCGGUGGAGCAUGUUGCUUAAUUCGAGGCAACGCGAAGAACCUUACCUAGGCUUGACAUGUGCGGAUUAACUCCUUGAAR